AACAACAUUAUCAGUGACCAUCUGUCGUCGUGCGGUGUUGUGGCUACACUGUAACCGCGGCUAAUACAUGCGUCCUGAACGCGUAUUUCGCGAUGGCUGUUGUAGAAAACGACGAAGACAUUAUCAAGAGAACGCAAUACAAAGCUAAAUUCAAACUAAAAGUAAUCGCGUUGGCUGAAAAAGUGGGAAACCGCUGUGCGGGCCGCCGAUACGCUGUGUCGGAACGUAACGUCCGAAGGUGGCGAUUAGACAAACAUCGACUUCAGCAUUGCCGUUCGGAUCAAUCUCUUUCCGAGGGCCCAGAUCAGGCAAGCUUUCAUUCAUUGAAACUGAGUUGGCUGCCUUUGUUGUUGCGAGCCGCAAGAAAGGUGCUAAGGUGACAUGGAGCAUGGUCGCAACAAGGCGCGUGUGCUGGCCACCGCGUACGGUGUUUCACAGGACACGUUUUGUGCAUCCAGAGGUUGGAUGAAGCGCUUCAUGACCAGGCAGGGCCUCAUCGUUGGUGCUACCAAAAGCCCGCUGACGCCACGAUACCCUGUCUUCACCAAGAAUCGCACGGAGAAGUUCGCUCUUUCCCAAAUCGGAAUAGGGUGUCAAGUGGCCCUGUAUUUCGACAAACCCGCAGAAUUCUUAAACGUCGAUGGCAUGGACUGCGAGUAUGAAUCGUCGAGGGUUGUGAACAUUGUGCUGUCUUGUACGGCAGACGGCCAAAAACUGCCUCUCUACGUCGGCUUGAAGGAAAGUCUUCAAGACAUUUCAAUGUUUCCCAGUAACGUUCAUGUGACGACAUGUUACGGAUGACAAUGAUGUUCUUCACGACUGGGUUCAGACCAUCUGGCUGUCACAGUGUGGCCCGCAGUCUAUGAGAAGAUCAGUGCUCAUUGUGGACAGCAGCAGCCCCAUGGCCGAUCCAAGGGUGCAUCGCAUCCUUAUUGACAAGGGCACACAAGUGCUCGAGGCACCGGGACUCUUUAAUACCGUUUACUCCAGUUUUCUGUCUACACUGAUGGCCAUUUACACUGACUGGAUUGUAGGUGAUGGACUUUGGAGGCCAAGACAUGCAGCAACCUGGCUGCACAUUGUAGACUGGAUAGCACUAGCUUGGCUGUCUGUGCAGCAAACCGUGAUAGAGCGUGCAUUUGCUGGCUACAAUGAAAAACUUGGACUUCAACUUGCAGACAACACCGGAAACCCAGCACAAGCAUGAAUUGUUGAGUUGACUUUUAAAGUGCCGCCAAACACAGACCGUUCUUCAACAGACAACAAUGUGAACCAAAAUUGAGGCAGGUUUAGAGGGCAAGUUUAGAGGGCAUGGCACUGUCAUGCUGCAAGCUGUGCCUGUUACCUAGACAUAUCGACUGGUUAUGCAUGUGACGGCUCUCAAGUGUUGUGAUGCAUGUGCAUUGACUUGUUCGGAGGGUAACUGUGCUUAUGGUGGUUGUAGUCAAACCGACAAACAUGAGCUAAAUCCAUAGGUAUCACACGUUUAGUUUGCCGUUUCAAUGACACACAAGUGUAUAUAUGAGCAGCCUUAUGUACAUUUCGUUUAUUAAGUACAGAUUGAGCACAGUAUAUACGGCAUAUACACAGACACAGUGUUUAGAAGUGACAGGACUGUUGCAUGUGGGUGCAUGCAAUAUUUGUUCCUGGCACGUAAUAAUACAAGUACACAACAGUCAAGAGGGCGUUGUGUGAAUGCACCAUCUUCUUGAAGAAAAGAAGUUAAUCUUUAGUGUAAAGUGUGCAACCAUCAUGUAAUUAUGGCAUAUUGCACAGUGGGAGGCUCCUGAAUAUUUUUUACCUAUUGGGAGUUCUUUAAUGUGCACCCAAAUCUAAGUAGACAAGUAUGUUUGUUUUACUCUCGUCAAAUAAAUGUAUCCAGGAGUUGGAACUCGUAACCUUUUGCUUAGCAGCAAGAGGCAGUGCUCAAAAAACUUUGUAGGAAUGUUUAAUGUCACUUGUCGGUGUCGUUACUUUCAAUAUUUAUGAAAAAUAAUUUUAAUUUUGCUGUUUCUAUUUAAGGCAAAAUUGUGUUUGGUACUAAUGUGUCCUUCACUUGCUUUUUGCAGGCAUAGUCCAAAUGGUUCUCACCUGUGGGUCGCGUGAAUACAUAAAAACUUCAGGCGCAAAUGAAAUACUGUCUUAUUAAGUUCAUCGUGUUCAAUUAAAAUGUCACUGAAUAAAUGUGAAUGACUUCAGUGCUUCAUAAUUGUCCACUGUUCUCAAUCGAACAAAAGAAAGUGGAGCAAAGUAUGAUAUACUUUACCCCGUGUCCAUAAUUAUCAACGUAAAACAUAGGUGCUUAGAGAAGCAGACCGCAAGAAAAAGUUUUCUUGCGUUAAUAAAUUUACUAAAAUGUCAAGAUCAUUAUAUUGUAAUGGGGCAAUCGUUAUUCGAAAACAAAACUAAAAGUUAGUUGCUUUUCUCUGAAUAUAGCAUGGUUAUAAGGCUUCUGAGAAAUCCUUCAAGAUUGUUAAUUUUUUUUAACGUUCGUACGCUCACUCCCCACAACACUUUUCUUUGUGUUAAUGUACUCGUAUGUAUAUGUGUGAAAUAAUUGUUGGAAGUCCGACUGUGAUAACUUAUUUGCAAACUUGUUUUUUCCAUAAACGCGUGGUCUUCCCAAUAAAGUUUAUCAGUUAUAAAUCGCA